CUGAAGUAAAAAAUUUUAAUGGACUUCAUUAUUUAAUUUAGUUUAAUUAAAUAUUUCUUAAGUUCAUUUAAAAUCUUGAAAAAUAUUAGAUUAAGCUCAAUUAAAUAAAAAUUGCUUAUGGCCCCUAUAAAAACCUUUUAUUUUAAAACAAUGCAAUCAAUUUUCUAAAACGUAAAAAUUAUUUUAUUUUAUUAAUUUUUAGUUAUUCUAUAGUCUUCAAAAUGCUUUAAGGUCUUUUCCAUCCAAUGGUAUUUUUAUCAUAAGACUCUUCACUACCUUUCAAAUAUGCUUAAAACAGGGGUUAAAAAGUAGGUGUAUGGAGAAUAAUACCCCCAAAAGACCUUUAUAUGAAGUCGUUAAGCAACCUUAUAUAAAACCACGGUUCAUCCUAGAGGAGUGGAGGUUAUUGUUAGGAAUGACAAUUAGAACAAUUAGAAUGUUUAGCAAUUUUGUUUUAUAAUUGAUUCAUUAUUGGGACAAUUAGUUAUGGAUAUAAAUGUACUAAGAGCCACUGUAGAGGGAAGCUAAUACAAGAAUUCAAUACAAUUUUCUUCUAAAUUCUUCUUCUCCUCUCUUCCUAAUCUUCCCUUUCUUUAUCUUUUUUCUCUCCCUUUCUCUCUCUAUUCUUUUUGUAUUCUCUCCCCUUUCUUCUACUUUUCUCCCUUUUCAUCUGUUUUCUCACUACCCAAACACUCUUGUUGUGUCCAGGUCACAACAAUAGCUGAUAGCAUUCAUAAUAAUCAUUAAACAUCUCCUACUAGUUUAAUUAAGGGCAUGUUUAGUGCAACUGUAUUAAUCAUUUGUGAGCAAAUGGUGGUCAAUGUUCAGCUGUAAAUGGCCAACGAUCAGUGAUUAGUUGGUUGUAGUUGGCAAUGGCAAUUGAUUGUAAAGCAUUUGCUAACUUUGGGGGCUGGACUUGCUGUCAUAUUAUAAAAUUACCAACAAGGACUUUUUAUUUUUGUUACAUAUUAUAUAAUAAAUUUUAUUUAUUAUACAAAAAUGAAUUCUCUCUUAUAAAUAAUAAUUUUAGUAAUAUAGACAUCUACACAUGCAAAAUUAUUAUAAAUUUUUUUUAAAUAUUUAUUUGAUUAUUUUGAUAACUUUAAUGAAUUAAUGCGUUUGGCAACUUAAGUCUGUGUAUGUUUAAAAGGUUAAAAAUACAAAUAAGUAGUGUUGUUUAUUUUUAAAUUAUUAAUAAGUAUUGUUGGAUUCAUUUUGAAAUUCAAUGGCAUAUUUUUAUAAAAGCUGGCUUUAAGGUCUAAAAGGAUUUCUAGCUUAUAUUGCUUUUGCAGUGUUUAAUUAAAAAAAUCAAAAGCCAGCUUUUGGUAUUUUAAUGUUUUUUGGUUUACCAAACACUUGUAAUCUAGUCAUUGAAGUUUCAACGCUGACUGCUGGUUCCAAAAGCUGAACAAAAAACUAACCUUGUGUUUGGACGGGAGAAUUUGAAAUAUGAUAUUUGAAUUUGAUAAAGUAUAUGUUUUGUUCAAUUGAUUAGAGUCAUGAAUAUAUAUUAGGCCCAUAAAUGUGGUAAGUAUCUUGAGUGUGGAUUUGAAAUAAUUU
rnacentral:misc_RNA from 1 species